GACGAACGCUGGCGGCGUGCUUAACACAUGCAAGUCGAACGGAAAGGCCCUGCUUUUGUGGGGUGCUCGAGUGGCGAACGGGUGAGUAACACGUGAGUAACCUGCCCUUGACUUUGGGAUAACUUCAGGAAACUGGGGCUAAUACCGGAUAGGAGCUCCUGCUGCAUGGUGGGGGUUGGAAAGUUUCGGCGGUUGGGGAUGGACUCGCGGCUUAUCAGCUUGUUGGUGGGGUAGUGGCUUACCAAGGCUUUGACGGGUAGCCGGCCUGAGAGGGUGACCGGCCACAUUGGGACUGAGAUACGGCCCAGACUCCUACGGGAGGCAGCAGUGGGGAAUAUUGCACAAUGGGCGGAAGCCUGAUGCAGCGACGCCGCGUGCGGGAUGACGGCCUUCGGGUUGUAAACCGCUUUCGCCUGUGACGAAGCGUGAGUGACGGUACUGGGUGAAGAAGCACCGGCUAACUACGUG
rnacentral:rRNA from 1 species